CCCUUCUUCCCAUAUAAUCCAAUUAUAUAGCAAUUACUAUCUUGCAGUGCCUCUAAAAGUUGAUCCGAAGCUACUUUAGUCGACUCAAAACAUACAAAAUUUCCGAAAGAGAAGUACUCUAAACCAGGAAUCGGGCUAGAAAAUGACUCAAACUCACAAUUGGUAUUUAGUGUCUUUAUUUUCUUUAGCAUUUCAUUGUAAAACCUAUAUCUUCUCUCACUAUCAAUAGAAGUACACAAGAUUUCCAAAAUUUCCAUUUCUAUUUCCAUCUUCUCUUCCUCUUCCAUCACUUUAUCCACAUCAUUUAGCCAUUCCAUAACAACAUCAUUGACUUUUUCUGUUUUAGUUUUUUCUUCAACUUUUUUCAGCACUAACUCAUGAUUUGAAAUCAACUUCACUUUCUCUUUGAUCACAUUUUCAAUGAUUUUUCCAACUUGAAACAAAUAAAUUCCUUCGCGUAUAAAUGUCCCC
rnacentral:lncRNA from 1 species